AAAUUGAAGAGUUUGAUCAUGGCUCAGAUUGAACGCUGGCGGCAGGCCUAACACAUGCAAGUCGAGCGGUAGCACAGAGAGCUUGCUCUCGGGUGACGAGCGGCGGACGGGUGAGUAAUGUCUGGGAAACUGCCUGAUGGAGGGGGAUAACUACUGGAAACGGUAGCUAAUACCGCAUAACGUCGCAAGACCAAAGUGGGGGACCUUCGGGCCUCAUGCCAUCAGAUGUGCCCAGAUGGGAUUAGCUAGUAGGUGGGGUAACGGCUCACCUAGGCGACGAUCCCUAGCUGGUCUGAGAGGAUGACCAGCCACACUGGAACUGAGACACGGUCCAGACUCCUACGGGAGGCAGCAGUGGGGAAUAUUGCACAAUGGGCGCAAGCCUGAUGCAGCCAUGCCGCGUGUGUGAAGAAGGCCUUCGGGUUGUAAAGCACUUUCAGCGGGGAGGAAGGCGGUGAGGUUAAUAACCUCAUCGAUUGACGUUACCCGCAGAAGAAGCACCGGCUAACUCCGUGCCAGCAGCCGCGGUAAUACGGAGGGUGCAAGCGUUAAUCGGAAUUACUGGGCGUAAAGCGCACGCAGGCGGUCUGUCAAGUCGGAUGUGAAAUCCCCGGGCUCAACCUGGGAACUGCAUUCGAAACUGGCAGGCUAGAGUCUUGUAGAGGGGGGUAGAAUUCCAGGUGUAGCGGUGAAAUGCGUAGAGAUCUGGAGGAAUACCGGUGGCGAAGGCGGCCCCCUGGACAAAGACUGACGCUCAGGUGCGAAAGCGUGGGGAGCAAACAGGAUUAGAUACCCUGGUAGUCCACGCCGUAAACGAUGUCGAUUUGGAGGUUGUGCCCUUGAGGCGUGGCUUCCGGAGCUAACGCGUUAAAUCGACCGCCUGGGGAGUACGGCCGCAAGGUUAAAACUCAAAUGAAUUGACGGGGGCCCGCACAAGCGGUGGAGCAUGUGGUUUAAUUCGAUGCAACGCGAAGAACCUUACCUGGUCUUGACAUCCACAGAACUUUCCAGAGAUGGAUUGGUGCCUUCGGGAACUGUGAGACAGGUGCUGCAUGGCUGUCGUCAGCUCGUGUUGUGAAAUGUUGGGUUAAGUCCCGCAACGAGCGCAACCCUUAUCCUUUGUUGCCAGCGGUCCGGCCGGGAACUCAAAGGAGACUGCCAGUGAUAAACUGGAGGAAGGUGGGGAUGACGUCAAGUCAUCAUGGCCCUUACGACCAGGGCUACACACGUGCUACAAUGGCAUAUACAAAGAGAAGCGACCUCGCGAGAGCAAGCGGACCUCAUAAAGUAUGUCGUAGUCCGGAUUGGAGUCUGCAACUCGACUCCAUGAAGUCGGAAUCGCU
rnacentral:rRNA from 1 species